rnacentral:rRNA from 1 species
AGUGAACGCUGGCGGUAGGCCUAACACAUGCAAGUCGAACGGCAGCACAGUAAGAGCUUGCUCUUACGGGUGGCGAGUGGCGGACGGGUGAGGAAUACAUCGGAAUCUACUUUUUCGUGGGGGAUAACGUAGGGAAACUUACGCUAAUACCGCAUACGACCUACGGGUGAAAGCAGGGGAUCUUCGGACCUUGCGCGAUUGAAUGAGCCGAUGUCGGAUUAGCUAGUUGGCGGGGUAAAGGCCCACCAAGGCGACGAUCCGUAGCUGGUCUGAGAGGAUGAUCAGCCACACUGGACCUGGGAAACGUCCAGACUCCUACGGGAGGCAGCAGUGGGGAAUAUUGGACAAUGGGCGCAAGCCUGAUCCAGCCAUACCGCGUGGGUGAAGAAGGCCUUCGGGUUGUAAAGCCCUUUUGUUGGGAAAGAAAAGCAGCAGGUUAAUACCCCGCUGUUCUGACGGUACCCAAAGAAUAAGCACCGGCUAACUUCGUG